rnacentral:rRNA from 1 species
GACGAACGCUGGCGGCGUGCCUAAUACAUGCAAGUCGAACGCAGUGGGGACGGGUGAGUAACACGUGGGUAACCUCCCAUCAGAGGGGAUAACACUUGGAAACAGGUGCUAAACCGAUACUGAUGGAUGGACCCGCGGUGCAUUAGCUAGUUGGUGGGGUAACGGCUCACCAAGUCCACGAUGCAUAGCAGACCUGAGAGGUGGAUCGCCUGCACGGGGAAGGAGAAACGGCCCAGAAGCCUACGGGACGCAGCAGUAGGGAAUCUUCGCAAAUGGACGAAAGUCUGACCGAGCAACUCCGCGUGAGUGAAGAAGGCUGUCGGAUGGUAAAACUCUGUUGUUAGAGAAGCGGUAGCUAACCAGAAAGCCACGGCUAAGUAGGUGCCAGCCGCCGCGGUAAUUC